rnacentral:rRNA from 1 species
AUGGCGGUGCUCACGCCGAUGAUCUUUCCCUUCCCCGUUGCCGUCGCCGCCGCCCUCUUCGCCGCCGCAGCCUUGGUUCCGAGACACGCCUCCGCGCUCACCCGCCAUGACUUCCCCGAGGGGUUCGUCUUCGGCGCAGGCACCUCGGCCUACCAGGUGGAAGGGGCUGUUGAGGAAGAUGGAAGGAAACCAAGCAUCUGGGACACCUUCACCCAUCAAGGUUACUCUUACAACAAAUCCACCGCGGAUGUUUCAGCAGAUCAGUAUCAUCAUUACAAGGACGAUGUAAAACUUAUGCAUGAGAUGGGUUUAGACGCGUACAGGUUCUCCAUUGCAUGGCCCCGGCUUAUUCCAGAUGGAAGAGGAGAGAUCAAUCCGAAGGGCCUGGAGUACUACAAUAACUUAAUAGACGAACUGAUACGACACGGCAUACAACCUCAUGUCACAAUCUACCAUUUAGACCUCCCUCAGUCCCUUCAGGACGAAUACAACGGACUGCUCAGCCCCAGAUUCAUAGACGAUUACACCGCAUAUGCCGAAGCCUGCUUCGAGAGCUUCGGGGACAGGGUGAAGCACUGGGUCACCGUCAAUGAGCCCAACAUAGAGACCAUCGGAGGCUUCGACAACGGCCGGCUUCCACCGCAGCGCUGCUCCCAUCCCUUCGGCGAGAACUGCACCAGAGGGGAUUCUACGACGGAGCCGUAUGUAGCAGCCCACCACCUCCUGCUCGCACAUGCCUCGGCAGUGCGCCUGUAUAGAGACAAGUACCAGGCAACUCAAAGAGGACAGAUAGGAAUCACUCUCUUGGGCUGGUGGCAUGAGCCUGCUACCAACUCAUCGCAGGAUGCAGCUGCUGCAACGAGGAUGAACGACUUCCACAUUGGAUGGCCUUCUCUGCACAGGUUUAUGCAUCCUCUGGUGUAUGGGGACUACCCUACUGUGAUGAGGAGCAGGGCAGGAGCACGGUUGCCGAAUUUAACUGCAGAGCAGUCUAAGAAAUUGCGCGGAGCAUUCGACUUCAUCGGCUUCAAUCACUACCUCGUUGUUCGCGCACGAGCCGACGACAGCGCUUUCAAUCUGAAGCAGAGAGACUACUAUGCUGACGCAUCUGCCAUUGCAGAUCCAUUCGAAGAUAUACAAGCGGGAGGUCUUGAGUAUGCUCCUUGGGCUCUAGGGAAGCUACUGGACCACCUGAAACUCAAGAACGGAUCGGACGCGCGGGGAUACUUCGUGUGGUCUUUCCUCGACGUUUUCGAGUUCCUCUUCGGCUACCGUUCGCGUUUCGGUCUGUGUGGCGUCGACAUGAACAUCAAGGGGAGGACAAGGUACGUGAGGAACUCUGCCCGCUGGUACUCCGGCUUCCUCAAUGGCGGCGAGCUGCGGCCUUCCGGGAAAGCCUAUACAGCUGCAUGA